GACGAACGCUGGCGGCGUGCUUAACACAUGCAAGUCGAACGGAAAGGCCCUCAUCUUGGUGGGGGUGCUCGAGUGGCGAACGGGUGAGUAACACGUGGGUGAUCUGCCCUGUACUUCGGGAUAAGCUUGGGAAACUGGGUCUAAUACCGGAUAGGACCAUGGUUUAGUGUCUCAUGGUGGAAAGAUUAUUGUUUUGGUGCAGGAUGAGCUCGCGGCCUAUCAGCUUGUUGGUGGGGUAAUGGCCUACCAAGGCGUCGACGGGUAGCCGGCCUGAGAGGGUGGACGGCCACAUUGGGACUGAGAUACGGCCCAGACUCCUACGGGAGGCAGCAGUGGGGAAUAUUGCACAAUGGGCGCAAGCCUGAUGCAGCGACGCCGCGUGGGGGAUGACGGCCUUCGGGUUGUAAACUCCUUUCGUUAGGGACGAAGCCGCACUUUUUUUGGGUGUGGUGACGGUACCUUUGUUAAGAAGCACCGGCUAACUACGUG
rnacentral:rRNA from 1 species